UCCUUAAUGCUCUUUAUUAGAGUGUUUAUUUUAGCUUUUUGUAAACUAUGGUUUGAUCAUGUGGUUGCACUGUGUGUUCAGUCAGAUGUCUGUUAGAAGGAGGAAGUCAGUUCAGUCUCAAAGAUUUAUCACAGCUCUGAGGAUGUCGAGGAUUGUUUCCUGUCUGUUCUGUAAGACCUUUUCUUAUUCUUAUCUUAUUUAUUGGAUUCUUCUUCUUUUCUUCUUAGGUGUUUUAGAACUCUGUAUUGGAACUGAGGCUUUGACAGAGACACUGGUAGAACUUGGACACAAUGCAACCCUGAACUGUUCUCUAAAUGUAACUGAUGUACAUUGGUACAUUCAGCACCACCCACAGCCUCCACUGGUCCUACUCCGCUCUUUCAUUAGUAGUAGUCCUAUUGCUUUUUAUUACAAUAAUACUUUUAGACAGAAAUAUUCAUUAGAAACAGGAAAUAGAUUGUUAAUACAGAAUGUAACAGUAGAUGAUUGUGGAGUGUACUACUGUACAAAGAAAGAAAAGGAAUUUGUCCUUUUCAGUAACGGCACCAGACUCAUGACAACCGGUAAGUGAACAUUUCAUUCAAUGAUCAACAUGCUAUAUUUUGUUUAAAAGAUACUUUUGAAAAGUGUUUUUGUUUACGUUUAACACAGCUAGGUGCAAAACCACUACAGAAAUGUUACAUCCACUUUGAGUAACAUAACCUAAAGUGAAUGUUGGCUAUACAUGUUUUCCUUAACCCUGCAGGUCUUGAAUCAAUCAAUGAAACAACAAACACAAGUUUGAAGCUCCUUGAUCCUAAAGCUUCAGAGCAACCCAGAGACUUCAACACAACAUGGCUAAAGGGUCUUCUCAUUGGAUCCGGGGUCUUAAAUGCAGUGCUCAUUUUAUUGCUGUCAGCCAUUUCAGUGCUGUGGAAGAGAGCUGCUUGCCAGAAGAACCAUGACUCUCCUCCAACCCCUGAACCACCUGAAAGGGCAGACAGGCCAGAGUAUGAAGUGAUACAGCUGGUUCAGACACCAAGAGGACCAAGGCCCGACCGCAUAGCCCCAACCAUUUACUCCAGAGUCCAGUUUCCAAAUCCUGAACUCACAACUACUGCUUAAUAAGGUGCCACAUCUGUAUCUACCCUUCCUCUUCAAUCUGUUUUAACAUACCUUGGCUAUUGUGAUAAUAGAUAUGACUGGUGGAUAAUGUGAACCACAAUAUGACUUUGGUAGAUCAUGUGAAUCCACUCUGAAUGUUCAUAUAUUUGUAUUCUAUGUAUAACGCUGCUCUUCGUCACUAUCGUCUAUAUACCAGUUAGCAAUAUAUUUUAAGGAAAUUGUUACUUUGUGUCUUGAUUCAUGUUUUUUAUUGUUCAUUGCUGGAAAUAAGUUCAUUUGUGCCAGUCUUGAAAGUUCUUUUUUUGUGAAGCAGCUAGGAAGAGUUUUGUGUAUUUCUGAGUAGAAGGUAGUGGUUUGUAUAUUUUAGUUGUUUAAGUUCAGACCACUGUAAGAAAGGUAAUGUCAGUGUAUUGCACAUUAUUUCAGUGUUCACUCUUCAUGGAAAAUAAAACAUAAAAUCUCUAUUUGGAAUCAACCAUCUCUUAUCUGAGGUACUCUACCUACAUUGCCUUCAAAGUAAGAGUGUGCACAAAACAAAGCAUUUAUAAACAGCAUGUUGUAAUGGCAGUGGUACCAGUCACCUGUCACUAAAUGGUCAUCAAGGUCACAAGGUGUCUUAAAGUUAGAAUCCUUAAUUGAAACAGUAACAAAGUGGACACCCCGCCUCAAUUUUCCUAAUAAGCUGAGGGAUGAGCCUGGAGAAUGUAACCACUCACAUUCGUAGACAGAACUAUUGUCAGUUCAUCCAACAUUAUAGUUUUAACCAUGCUUUGAGGCUACACAGUAUUUGUUUAUAUUUUGAGUUCUGAUGGGGUAGGAAAGUUGAACAAGCUCAUGAGGAAUUUGUAAGUUAUAUUCCUCAAUCAUCAAUGGGUAUGUCAUUACCGGUCAUUUAUAAUAAAUGUCCCAAAAUGGAUGUGGCAAUAAAGGAUUGUAGCUUUAAUACCAGGUAGAGGUUCUUUUUCAACAGAAUUUCCUGCUCUGUAUAUUUUUAGAUUUGACCUUCUGCAUAAUGAGAAUGUGGUCGUUAGAUGAGAGACGAAUUGACACUCACCGCUUCCUCUUCGCACUUUGCACAGACUUGCUCUUCAUGUGGAAACUUUUAAGCAAGUUAACAAUGACCUUCCACAUCGUUAUGUUUGUGUUUUUAGUUUUAUCUUAACUUGACUACUUAAGUUAGGUGUUCCACUAGUAAUGUAAGCUGAAAGCUAACUGACCAUAAAGACAUGCCUAUAUGAAGGGGGGGAGGGUAAAUCAAAUAAAUUGCUAUUCAAUUCGGGACUUGAAUUGAAAUUCAGUUAUUGGAUUUAACAACUGUCAAAGGAAAUAAUGUGUCCCUGCAAUGAGUAAGUCUAUAGGAAAAGUGGGCAUGACUAUGAUUGGUCUGACCUCUGGAAUGUCACAGUAGAUGAUUGUGGAGGUUUCUACUGUUCACAGAAAGAAGACAAGGGUCUACUAUUCAGCAAUGGCACCAGACUCAUUACCAAUAUAAUUCAUCAACAUAUACAUCUUUAUAUAUAUCACAUUUUGAGGAUUUAUCCUCACAACAUAUGUUGAAUGUGGGAUUCAGACCAAUUUCCCACCAAUGUGGGAUCCAGACCAAUUUCCCACCAAUGUGGGAUUCAGACCAAUUUCCCACCAAUGUGGGAUGCAGACCAAUUUUAACUUCCUCUGUUUAUUACUGUCUUCCUUAUUCUGUUACAAAUGUAUGAUGUCUUGUAAAUGUAAAGAUGGUUUAGAAUAACUCAGGACAUAUAACAUUGGCUGUGCAGUAAAUCUGUUAUGUUUUCCCCAGAGGUUUAUGCUGACUAUCUAAACCAGCGCUCCAACGGCAGGUCAUCAUGGGAGAACUGUCUUCUGUCCAUUUACAGUGUUCUGAAUGUUAUUCUGAUCGUUAUAACCCUGG